GUGCUCAUGUCAGCAGCACAUACACUAAAAUUGGAACAAUACAGAGAAGAUUGGCAUGGCCCUUGAGCAAGAAUAGUUGCAGAGUUUCUAACUUGUAACAUAGCAAUUAUUU
ensembl:snRNA U6 U6 spliceosomal RNA